GCCACGAGCAAGGCAUUUCUUUUGGUCACAUCAUAUUCCCUUCGUCCCAUAAAAUGGUCUUUUCUUUUAUUUUAUUUUUUUCAUUUUAGACCGUCCCACUAAAAUAGCUCUUUUCUAGUUUUGGCAAGUCUUUUCUCUCUUAUAAGAUUGUCGUUAACAAUACUUUAAUCACUUUUUCUUUCUACACCUCUCCUAUUUUACCAAUUUCAUUAAAACUCAUGCCGUCACCAAAGUUCUUAAUUUUAUAGGACUGAGGGAGUAUGAUUUAAGAAAAAUGAUAUUUAGAGAGUUAAGUGGAGAUAAAAUAAAGUCAGAAAGUCCUAAUAAAGCAUAUAAGUGAAUAAAGACUAUAGUUAGAGGGUAAUUGUGUUAAAUUUUGUCAAAAAAAGAAAUGACUCUAUUUAGGAAACGUCUCAAAAUGAAAUACGAGUCAAAAUGAAAUACGAGUCGCUUAUGAAAAGAGGAAGGGAGUAUAAUUACAAAGUAAGCUUAAAAAAUUAUUAUAGUAGUAUGAAAUAAAUAAGGGAUAUUGUCACCUAAUAUUAUGAAACUUUCAAAAAGUUGAGUUUUUUUCGCGAACUUUGAAAUUGACAAAUAAUAUCACAAAUGUUACCCCUGGGUUUGUGAUUUUCCAUCAAUGAAAAAAAUUUCGACUAACAUGUAAAGCAAUAAAUUAAGAUAGAAUAGAACAAUUGCUAUGAAAUUUGUUUUAUUAAUAUGAGAUUAGUUUACCUAACCCAUUCUUCGUUGAAACAGAGUUUUACGGCGAAUUAAUUAAUUAGUUAAUUGAUUAAAGAUGUUAUCUAUAAAGAGAGUGCAUACGAAGUCACAGCCUUCUCAUACAAACAAACACACCAAUUUCCAGAGCAAAAAGAAAAAUGGUUUACAAGAGAAUUGUAUUGAUGGGUGUAUUGUUAGUUAUGGGGCUUCUCAUCACAUCUGAUGUUGCAGAUGCGAGACAAAUCACUCUUACUGAGAAGUCCAAUAAUUUGGAAUCUGAGAAAGAAAAUAUUGCUAUAAUGGAAAAUGAGCCUCCGUUUAGAUGCCCGGAUGGGUGCUGUGGAAGAGGAAAGCUCCCUUAUUGCAAGUGUUGUUGAAUUUAUUUCUAAUUAACAUUCAUGUCUCAUGUUUGAUUUCACUAAUAAAUCUCAUAUUGGGAAAUGUAAAAUGACCUAUGCAGUUCGUGUGAAUUACGAUUUGAGCUUAAAUUUAACU